CUCGGCAGAGGAAGCCGGAGCGACUCCGGCAACGCUUCGCCAUCCCACCGGGGAACUUCUCACGGGAGGACCAGGGGAUGCUGUAGCUGCGCAAGGUGAAGGACAGACUGACAGUCACGGGCAGAGCCACGGCAGUUAUUUCUCUGCCUGAAGCAAGGGAGGCCGAUGCUUUGGUGAGCUGAAGAGCACGGUCUGCAGGGAAAGAGACGUUUGUUGGAUGCGAACAUCCCCCGGCUGCGGUGAGGGGAGAGGAGCCGCUGCCACAGAUCGAGCACACUUCUGGAGGGAAAAAUACCGCUUUGGUUUGGAAUAUCAGUUGGGUGCGAAAGACGGAGGAGACGUUGCAGCUCGGUCGGUAGCUAAGGGAGCAAACCUGGACCCCCUGACCCGGCCCCGCAGGAGCGGCUAAGGAGGGGCCAUUUGCAUUGCUGCGAGGGCCCG